rnacentral:rRNA from 1 species
GAAGCAAUACCGUGAGGUGGAGCAAAACUCAAAAACUUGUCUCAGUUCGGAUUGUAGGCUGAAACUCGCCUACAUGAAGCUGGAGUUGCUAGUAAUCGCGAAUCAGCAUGUCGCGGUGAAUACGUUCCCGGGCCUUGUACACACCGCCCGUCACACCAUGAGAGUUGGCAAUACCCAACGUACGUGAUCUAACCCGCAAGGGAGGAAGCGUCCUAAGGUAGGGUCAGCGAUUGGGGUGAAGUCGUAACAAGGUAAC